rnacentral:lncRNA from 1 species
GUCUCUCGCUGCAGCCAGAGCUUGGGAUCCCUUUCUGCUGUUCAACGUCCUCCACCUCUGCCCCCCUCUCCCCCAAGCCGGUGACAGGCUGUUGCCCUGUGAUCUGCAGGUCCUGGGACGUGCACAGCUAAGAUGCCAGGACAUUCUAGAAGGUGGGAAAGGCAUCUGAGUGAUUUGACUCUCCUGCCUGGACCCAGUGUACAGAUGGGAUUGUGCUUUAUUGCUGGACCCAGCAUUUAGGCCCACUACCUCUGGGAUUGCAUGCUCCUGCCUGGGCUGUGCCCACAGUGACCUUGUGACAUAUAUGUGCAUCCAUGACCUAAAAGAUGUGACACUUCUUGCCUGCAACCUGCCCUGCACAGGAAAGAUUGUGACUUCUCCCUGGAACCAGAUACCAGGGAACGUCACUCCUGUGGAUGAUCAAAGGCGCCUGUAAUUUCAGCUACUCAGGGGGCUGAGGCAGGAGAAUCGCUUGAACUCGGGAAGCAGACGUUGCAGUGAGCCAAGGUCGCACCACUGCACUCCAGCCCAGGCAACAGUGUGAGACUCCACAUCAAAAAGAAAAAGAAAAAAAGUGUACUAACAAGACCCAGCACACAGAGGAGACUUUUACCAUUAUAUGAACACCCAUCAAACAGUACACAUCAUCAUUGUGAGUUCUGAAUCUCACACAUAGAGGAAGUCAAAGGUGGAAAAAUUGACUCUCAUAGUUGGAUCCAGUCCACAGGUGUGAUUUUGACACACACUUCUGCCUAGCACCUGAGUAAUGUGAUUCUUCAGAAUUGGCCCAG